rnacentral:rRNA from 1 species
UGCAAGGCGGCAGCUACACAUGCAGUCGAGGGGUAGGGGGUGCUUGCACCCCUGAGACCGGCGCACGGGUGCGGAACGCGUAUGGAACCUGCCCCUGUCAGGGGAAUAGCCCAGGGAAACUUGGAUUAAUGCCCCAUGGUAUCAUUACAUCGCAUGAUGUUGUGAUUAAAGAUUUAUCGGACAGGGAUGGCCAUGCGUACCAUUAGCUUGAUGGUGGGGUAACGGCCCACCAUGGCAACGAUGGUUAGGGGCCCUGAGAGGGGGAUCCCCCACACUGGUACUGAGACACGGACCAGACUCCUACGGGAGGCAGCAGUGAGGAAUAUUGGACAAUGGUCGGAAGACUGAUCCAGCCAUGCCGCGUGCAGGAUGACGGCCCUAUGGGUUGUAAACUGCUUUUAUACGGGAAGAAACCCACCUACGUGUAGGUGGCUGACGGUACCGUAAGAAUAAGGACCGGCUAACUCCGUGCCAGCAGCCGCGGUAAUACGGAGGGUCCGAGCGUUAUCCGGAAUCAUUGGGUUUAAAGGGUCCGUAGGCGGGCCUGUAAGUCAGGGGUGAAAGUUUGUGGCUCAACCAUAAAAUUGCCUUUGAUACUGCAGGUCUUGAGUCAUGGUGGGGUUGCCGGAACAUGUGGUGUAGCGGUGAAAUGCAUAGAUAUCACAUAGAACACCGAUCGCGAAGGCAGGUGACCAACCAUGUACUGACGC